UGGAAAAUCCCAUUUGGAUUUGAGAUCCAGCCCAGUUGCAUGACGCGGAUUAGGCAGUAGAAAGUACCCUGCUCAGAGGACCAGGUCAAAGGAGCUGUGCGCCUCUUGUGUCUGUGACUUAGGACUAGACCGAGUGGUGGACCUAAAGACUUCUGGACAGGUGGGAAAAUUUAUAGACAUCUAUGAAGGUGCUAUUGGCACGUGAUAAAAAUUGUGAAGCUGGUACGUGAAUGGCUGCACUUAGAAAACCCUGGCUUAGAUGACCCCGAUGUGCUUUCCAGUUCUGAGGACCUGUGACCGUGAAAGCCCCAGUUCCAGCACGAAGAACACUUUCCUGGUCUCCAACUGUCUGAAAUGGCCUCAAGUUUUCUUCAAAUCACACUGGGAGAAGGGAAAGUCCAAAUGGAAUUUCUCUCUUCCAGGACUUGGCAUCCCGAGCUUAUCACUGGAGAGCAGAAGAAAUCGUCAGGACGUGUUGAUUACAGCUCCCGUCCUGGGCCAGACAGCCAGGUCACUUCUGCCGCCUGUUCCCAGUUCAUCCAAACCCUUCUCUUCUCUUCCCUCUUGUGAGCUGCCCCUCACCCUCCAGUAAAUUUCCUUUAAAUGGAGCCGAAUUCAGGUCUGUCUGCUCGCACAGCCUGUGAACUUAACCAUUACAUAAUUUUGAAGCCUCUCUGUUUCCCCUUAGGCACGAGGCUCUAAAAGGCUCUGCUUCUGAAAGUCUGAGCAUGUACAAUUCUAAAAUGAUAUCAUUGAUUCCUUUUCUGUUCUUUCAGAGCUGGUCAAGGUUCACACCUGCAAAUCCCUACAGCUUGAGCUGUCGCCUGAGUCAGCAGUAGGGUGUGUGAGGGCUUGUAGACUUGAGCUCAGCUGACAGACACAUCCCUUUACUCACGCUGGCUUCUCCCUGCGGGCUACACAUUGUAAGGCCCGGCCAGCCUAGUUUCUCACUUGUCCAUAAUAUCUAGGGUCUACCAUCCCCUAAGAGAAAUCUGCUGACCAUGCAGGAGAAAUCUGAAAUUGAAUGAGGAGGUGAAGACACCUCUUUAAGAGUUUUUGCCUUGAAGUGCCCCACGGUGCUGUAUCCACUAAGCAGUGAUGAGCAGGGCCUUGCAGCAGCUUCGAGAAAUGCUUCACAACCUACUGGUAGCAUGAAAGAUUAGAAACGUUCCCCCGUACGGCCACUAGGCAGAUAUAAGCAGUAUUCAUAUUUAAGCAGCUAAAAUGUAGCACUCAUUUCCUUAAUGUUAUUCUUCAUUCACUAGAGUAGAUCAUUUGAAUUGCGCGAACACUUUUUUCCCCAUAUGAGAUUCAGUAACGCUAUUUUUAUUUUGAACCAAAAUUUAGUUCGAUUGUUCCUGACUUGCCCUCUUGCCAAAUAAUAUUGCUUCCCUUACGCUAUCUUACAGGCUCAGAUCGAAGCUUCUAUGCUGAAGGCUGAGGGAAUCGAGAGGGUGGUUUACAGAGAGAUGAGAAAACGUAGGUGGGUGUAUCUUUUAAAGCUGAGGCUGCAGGCGAAGAGCAGGAAGAACACCGGGAGAUGGAGAGCUGAGCUGAGCAAAAGAGUUGCUCCCAGCGAGCACUUGGGGCACCACUGCAGAUUUAUAGGGACUGGUAGCAAGAGCAAAGCAGUCAGUGAAUAGCAGAGGACAGCGGAUAAAAGACAGCCAGGAAUAGGAUGUCCCAUGCUGAGCAGUCUGCAGCCCGGGGCAUUUAGGUGGGGUCUGGUCUUCCUCGGAGCAGCCAAAGGGCCUUUGCAUGAGCAAGACACCUGGUCGAGUCUUUUUGUUUUGUGUCUGUCCUGAUUGCCAUGCUGCUAGGGGUUUUCAACCUUUCUAUAAAGAAUAGACUUUUUAUCUGAGUCUUUGAGUUAGUGUUUGGGGCUGUGGAAACUGGAAACCAGUCAAGUCAAUGUAUGUAUAGUUUUAUGGUUUGCAAAGUAUCUUUCUACACAUGACCUCAAGGUACCUCUGAGGUAUGUUGGGAAGAUGAAUAUGAAGAAUUUACACAGCUCGUUAUGUCACAGAAUACUGCUGAUGCCACCACUGUGCAGAGAAAGCAGGGCAUUAAUGAGGCAGGA